rnacentral:rRNA from 1 species
UGGGGAAUUUUGGACAAUGGGGGAAACCCUGAUCCAGCCAUCCCGCGUGUGCGAUGAAGGCCUUCGGGUUGUAAAGCACUUUUGGCAGGAAAGAAACGUCGCGGGUUAAUACCCCGCGGAACUGACGGUACCUGCAGAAUAAGCACCGGCUAACUACGUGCCAGCAGCCGCGGUAAUACGUAGGGUGCAAGCGUUAAUCGGAAUUACUGGGUGUAAAGCGUGCGCAGGCGGUUCGGAAAGAAAGAUGUGAAAUCCCAGAGCUUAACUUUGGAACUGCAUUUUUAACUACCGGGCUAGAGUGUGUCAGAGGGAGGUGGAAUUCCGCGUGUAGCAGUGAAAUGCGUAGAUAUGCGGAGGAACACCGAUGGCGAAGGCAGCCUCCUGGGAUAACACUGACGCUCAUGCACGAAAGCGUGGGGAGCAAACAGGAUUAGAUAGCCUGGUAGUCCACGCCCUAAACGAUGUCAACUAGCUGUUGGGGGUCUUCGGACCUUGGUAGCGCAGCUAACGCGUGAAGUUGACCGCCUGGGGAGUACGGUCGCAAGAUUAAAACUUAAAUGAAUUGACGGGGGUCAUAGCUGUUUCCUG